CGGGCUUAAUGGCGCCGACGACCGUGCCUCAAUCGGCCACGAAUAAGGACUCCAUGGCAGUCUAUGGGUAUUUAUCUAUGAAAAGAAGGGAGUCUUUUCGUCAAAUGUUGGGUAUCCCGGAAGUAGGACGUGCGCCGUACCGACCCAGUCUGAAGGCAGGUAACGGGUUAUAAGGAAUGACGACGGAGGGCAUCCUCAGCCCAGGCACAGAGUCAUGGGCACACCCCCUGGUGCGAGAGUGCGGGGGAUGACUAGUAGCGGAACCAUCCGGCAAUGGGAUGGUUGAUCGAUUAGUCUGCGUGUGGUUAGAGAUUGGCGGAGUUGAAAUUAGUAGUCAGGUCCAUCUGAUUACUGGUGUAGGCCAUAAUGAGGGACAAAGGGUCCCGAUAGGGUCACAAUCUCCAUACAGCACAUGCGCAAUGAGUGGGCACGCGGCGAGAGUUUGUUGGCUUCAACGAGAUGGCGAGCUGAACGUACAUAAUCCGGACCGCGAU
rnacentral:rRNA from 1 species